rnacentral:tRNA from 1 species
GCGCGAGUGGCGGAACGGCAGACGCGCCAGGUUUAGGUCCUGGUGGGCUCUACGCCCUUGGGGGUUCGAGUCCCCCCUCGCGCACGA